CCAGGUCCUCACCAUAGCAACCUGACCUCCUGGCUUCCACUAAGCAUCUUCCUACUGGCGGUCUCAUGCAGAGCAUUGUUGUGAUGUCUGAGGCACCUGGCAUGCCACAGAAAGAGUCUGUAAGCCAAAGGCACCACAGCUGUUCCCGCCAUUCCCCCAACACAGAACGUGGGCUCCAGAGGUCAGCAGCCAGCAGCUUCUGUCCCUUGUCACUUUUCCCUCGGUGCUGGUGUCACUCAAUGGAGGAGUCAUAGCACUCCAUAUCACCCACUGUCCUAUGUAGCCAUGGAAUCUGGGGAUUCAUUUGGGCCCACAUUAUCUCAGUGCCUCGAUUCUCCAGCCAAUGAACCAUCAUGGCAAGAAACGGCAACUAUGUUAAGAAAUGGGUCAGAAGCCUCAGGGACUAAACUGUUUGCAUGGAAUGAAAAUCUUUUGCAGGA